UACGUAGGGUGCGAGCGUUGUCCGGAAUUAUUGGGCGUAAAGAGCUCGUAGGCGGUUUGUUGCGUCGGCCGUGAAAACCUGCAGCUUAACUGUGGGCCUGCGGCCGAUACGGGCAGACUUGAGUUCGGUAGGGGAGACUGGAAUUCCUGGUGUAGCGGUGAAAUGCGCAGAUAUCAGGAGGAACACCGGUGGCGAAGGCGGGUCUCUGGGCCGAUACUGACGCUGAGGCGCGAAAGCGUGGGGAGCAAACAGG
rnacentral:rRNA from 1 species